AUGCCCUCGGAUCGUGCGCCCGGGCCGGAUGGCUUCUCAGGCCUUUUUUACAAGGUGUGUUGGGAUAUUAUUGCCAAUGAUUUCAUGGUUGUCAUGCUUGAGCUCUACAGGGGCAAUUUUGCCUCUUUUGGUAGGCUUAAUUCCUCGAUAAUUACUUUGUUGCUCAAGAAGGAGUGUUCGCUGCAAGUGGCUGAUUUCAGGCCGAUUAACUUAAUCCAUGGAUCUGCAAAAAUCUUUGCUAAAGUUCUAGCCGUACGUCUUGCCCCUUUACUACCAGCCCUUAUCUCACAAGUUUAGAGUGCUUUCAUCAGCCACAGAAGUAUUCAU
rnacentral:rRNA from 1 species